rnacentral:lncRNA from 1 species
GCCCUAUGGACCCAAAGCCAAAUGCAUUAAAAUUUAUUGACUGAAAAUAAAUAACUGAAGUAGAAUCAAUUUAAUGAGGCUUCUUCGAUCCAAAUCGAACUUAAAUUAUGUUGUCAAUUUUUGAUGGCUCUGGUGUCCGCACCAAUUCUUUCGGGGUGGGAAAAACUCGAUCCUGUCGAGUGUGGGUCGAUUCUGCUCUGGUGACGCUCAAGUAGAUCGGGAUCAAUGCGUUGCAGCUCUUCUCGAGUGAUCCAGGUAUCUUCAGACUCUGAUCGACCUCGCCAUCUGACCAGAUACCGCUGAUAGCCUCGACUCCAGAUGGAAAGGAUCUGCUCAUCCAAAAUUCUCUCAAUCUGAUCGUGUUUUGCUGACAUUUUGGCUGGUGGACACUCAGGGAUAGGUUCGCUCUCAAAGGUUGGUUCAGGCUCAAAUGGCUCACUAGGUAUCCGAGUUGGUUUUUUAUAGUACGACAAGAUCUG